rnacentral:tRNA from 1 species
GCCUGGGUGGCUCAGUUGGUUAAGCAUCCGACUUCGGCUCAGGUCAUGAUCUCACGGUUCGUGGGUUCGAGCCCCGCGUCAGGCU